rnacentral:rRNA from 1 species
GGGGAAUCUUAGACAAUGGGGGAAACCCUGAUCUAGCCAUGCCGCGUGAGCGAUGAAGGCCUUAGGGUUGUAAAGCUCUUUCAGCUGGGAAGAUAAUGACGGUACCAGCAGAAGAAGCCCCGGCUAACUCCGUGCCAGCAGCCGCGGUAAUACGGAGGGGGCUAGCGUUGUUCGGAAUUACUGGGCGUAAAGCGCACGUAGGCGGAUUGAAAAGUUGGGGGUGAAAUCCCGGGGCUCAACCUCGGAACUGCCUCCAAAACUAUCAGUCUUGAGUUCGAGAGAGGUGAGUGGAAUUCCGAGUGUAGAGGUGAAAUUCGUAGAUAUUCGGAGGAACACCAGUGGCGAAGGCGGCUCACUGGCUCGAUACUGACGCUGAGGUGCGAAAGCGUGGGGAGCAAAC